GAUGAACGCUGACAGAAUGCUUAACACAUGCAAGUCAACUUGAACUUCGGUUUGGGUGGCGGACGGGUGAGUAACGCGUAAAGAACUUGCCUCACAGAUAGGGACAACAUUUGGAAACGAAUGCUAAUACCUGAUAUUAUGAUUAUAUGGCAUCGUAUAAUUAUGAAAGCUAUAUGCGCUGUGAGAGAGCUUUGCGUCCCAUUAGCUAGUUGGAGAGGUAACGGCUCACCAAGGCGAUGAUGGGUAGCCGGCCUGAGAGGGUGAUCGGCCACAAGGGGACUGAGACACGGCCCUUACUCCUACGGGAGGCAGCAGUGGGGAAUAUUGGACAAUGGACCAAGAGUCUGAUCCAGCAAUUCUGUGUGCACGAUGAAGUUUCUCGGAAUGUAAAGUGCUUUCAGUUGGGAAGAAAAAAAUGACGGUACCAACAGAAGAAGUGACGGCUAAAUACGUG
rnacentral:rRNA from 1 species